GACGGACCGUCCGAACGUUACUCGGAAUUACUGGGCUUAAAGGGUGCGUAGGCGGCCUUGCAAGUCGGGUGUGAAAUCCCUCGGCUCAACCGAGGAAUUGCGCUCGAUACUGCGGGGCUCGAGGGAGAUAGAGGUGAGCGGAACUUGCGGUGGAGCGGUGAAAUGCGUUGAUAUCGCAAGGAACACCGGAGGCGAAAGCGGCUCACUGGGUCUCUCCUGACGCUGAGGCACGAAAGCUAGGGGAGCGAACGGG
rnacentral:rRNA from 1 species